rnacentral:rRNA from 1 species
UACGGAGGGUGCAAGCGUUAUCCGGAUUCACUGGGUUUAAAGGGAGCGUAGGUGGGCAGGUAAGUCAGUGGUGAAAUCUCCGAGCUUAACUCGGAAACUGCCAUUGAUACUAUUUGUCUUGAAUAUCCUGGAGGUAAGCGGAAUAUGUCAUGUAGCGGUGAAAUGCUUAGAUAUGACAUAGAACACCCAUUGCGAAGGCAGCUUACUACGGGAUUAUUGACACUGAGGCUCGAAAGCGUGGGGAUCAAACAGGAUUAGAUACCCUGGUAGUCCACGCCCUAAACGAUGGAUACUCGACAUCAGCGAUACACUGUUGGUGUCUGAGCGAAAGCAUUAAGUAUCCCACCUGGGAAGUACGACCGCAAGGUUG